GCUGCGGAUCCUGGACGUCACCCGCUCUGGCCCGUGCGUGCGGCGGGUGAGUGGCCCCGGGGUCUCCGCGGCCGAGGCGCUGGGACGCCCUUCCUGACAGCCGGUCUCCCGGCACGUAGCGCUCGCCUGACUCAGCGCUGAGUCACCGCUCCCGCGGACUCCCGCUUCGCCCUGCACAGCCAGAGGCUGCCGGGCUCCGUGCACGCCGAGGCCGAGCCCUCAGUGCUGCAGACCGGUCUCUGCGCUUCCCGGAGCAGCGCAGGGUUUACAGCUUUUGAAUCCCGACCAAGCCCAGCACUAACUUCCUGCGUUGUUUUCUUUGCCUUAAGGGCUGACUAGUCUAGGGAUCAAAUUCUUCCAUCGAAGCUUGUUGGCGCAAAUCCCGGCUUUGUCCUUGAACAGUGACUUUGAGAUGAUCUUCGUUUGGAUUUUUUUAAUACUUCCGCGGUUCCAAACUUCUGUCUUAUUUAUGCCCUCCGUUUCCUAAGGUUAUCUUUUCAGUGUGUUUGGUAACUAAUCUUGUCAUAAAGCCACACUGCGGUGACGCAAGUCAGGUUGGAAUCUGGCAUGGUGUACAGGCAGUGACUUACUGUAAAAUCCAGGGCCUUCAUCGCGACAUCCUAUCUGUCAUCUCAGGCACUGAUUAGCUUCCUUGCCCUUGGAGAGGUCCCGGGGAUUUAGAAGGCCUGUUGAAAUCUGUCUUUAUAGCGGCCAUGUUUCUUGCUUCCUCCUCGGAGUUUAAAAUGAAGAGAACGAUAGAUAAGCAUUUCUGCAAACGUAGCUUGGACCACCUGUCCCAGAGCACAAUUUUACUCCAAACUGCAGCUGCAGAAUGUCCUGAAUAAAACUAGAAACCGGCCACCUGCCAGUGAAACACGUGAUCCGCAAAGCCUACCAGAGGAUAGGAGGAAAGCAGUUUUCCUAGACUGAACACACAGACCACGUUGGUUCUGGUGUUCUUAUUCAUCUUUCUGUCUAAAAUACUGGAAAGGUAAAAUGCGGGGCGGCCACAUAAAAUAUCAGCGUACUGUUAUAGUGAUAGCCAUUUACAUCGCUGUUGAUAUGGUAGAGAUGGAACCGAAGGCCUGAUGCUCUAAUCAGACACUGCUACACAGCUAUAGCCUCAGCAGGAAGUUGUUCCGACUUCCGAUCCCUGGACAUUUUCAUUUCUCUGGGAAACUCUUCCAGCUUCAUCUUUGCUAGCAUUGGAGCAAACUCCCCAACAAGCCCUUGUUGGUCCAAGUAGAGUUCUUGGACCAGCAACCCAGCAUCACAAAGUAGCUCAUAAGAAGCACAGGCUCUCUGAGCUGCUGACGCAGCAAAGACGGAGGAGUGCUUGCCUAGUAUGCUUGAAGACUGGAGUGGAGGAAGGGAGAACAGAAGUUCAAAAUCAUCCUCCGCUGCGUCCUUAGAGCCUAGAAUCUCAGACUCCAUCCAAAAUUGGCAUGUUUACGAGGUCUCUUUAUAUCGUGAACUUGGGAAGAACUGAUCAGUGGGCUGGCAGAGGUUACUGGGAAGAAGGUUAAGCCCAUUUAUUUACUUUCUGUAGAUGACUGGUCCAUUUCCUCACACACUCACAAAUCACUCUGUAAAUUAACACAUCAUGAAUACUUAAACAGUGAAUCUGAUUUUUGGAGACUUGUCAAAAACAUGUUUAAAAAAAAACUGCUAAACUAAAAAUCAAAUUUUGACUUAUGAUAUUUCCAAAGAAAAUCAGCUUCUGAAAUGAACUUGUGAGAAAAUAACCAACCAGCAACCCUCUGUCCUUCCCUGGUUAAUGAAACAGGGGAGGCUGCUGUGGGAAGAGGAAAUCAUCCGGGAACUCCAGACAGGGAAGAAGGCUACAUUCUUACCGAGUGGCUUGCGUUAGCAUUGCUGUGGCCUCGGCACACUGUUACAUUGGGGAGAAGAUGUUAAAGUAGAUCUUCAAUGGUUCUUGCUCUUUUGCUGCAUACCUCACAAUCAUGCAUUGGAAUAGACAGAGGCAGCACUAGGAAAUGUCACCUAUACUUUUCAAUUACAAAGGACAUGAAUUUCAGAGGGAGUUGUUAUCCAUAAAGAUAGUAGUAGAACAUUCUAAAUUACUUUUACCUUAAACUUUAAUCUAGAUUGGGUUCAACAACUCAUCUGGUAAAGAAAGUCAUUUGCCACCAAGUCUGACAAUAUAAGUUUAAGUCUUAAAACCCCAUACACAAAAAACAAACAAACAAAUAAAC
rnacentral:lncRNA from 1 species